rnacentral:ncRNA from 1 species
UAAAGCAAAACACUGAAAAUGCUUAGAUGAGUAUUUAUACUCCAUAAACACAAUAAGGCUUGGUCCUGGCCUUUCUAUUAGUUGUUAAUAAACUUACACAUGCAAGAAUCCCCGCCCCUGUGAAAAUGCCCUCUACACCACCUACAGGUAUAAAGGAGCUGGUAUCAAGCACACUAAAAGUAGCUCAUAACACCUUGCUCAGCCACCCCCCCACGGGAGACAGCAGUGACAAAAAUUAAGCAAUAGAUGAAAGUCUGACUAAGUUAUAUUAUUAAGAACUGGUAAAUAUCGUGCCAGCCACCGCGGUCAUACGAUUAGAACCAUAUACUAAUAGACUAUUCGGCGUAAAGGGGUGUUUUAGAAAAUCAAUAUAAUCUAAUAAAAGUUAAACCUUAACUAAGCUGUAAAAAGCCCCGUUACUGUAAAACAAACAACGAAAGUGACUUUAAAAAAUCUGACCACACGAUAGCUAAGACCCAAACUGGGAUUAGAUACCCCACUAUGCUUAGCCAUAAACAUGGAAAAUUACAAACAAAAUUAUUCGCCAGAGUACUACCAGCAAAGGCUAAAAACUCAAAGGACUUGGCGGUGCCUUAAAUCCAUCUAGAGGAGCCUGUUCUAUAAUCGAUAAACCCCGAUAUACCUCACCAACCCUUGCCAAAUCAGCCUAUAUACCGCCAUCUUCAGCAAACCCUAAAAAGGAAAAAUAGUAAGCACAAACAUCUGCAUAAAAACGUUAGGUCAAGGUGUAGCCUAUGAGUUGGGAAGUAAUGGGCUACAUUCCUCGACGCCGAGGUAAUAUUUUACGAAAACCUAUGUGAAAUCAACAGUUAAAGGGGGGAUUUAGCAGUAAAUUAAGAAUAGAGUGCUUAAUUGAAUAAAGGCCAUGAGGCACGCACACACCGCCCCGUCACCCCUCCCUCAAGCGAAGAUAUUAAACAAUUCCUAAAUACAAAAUAUAAGCUCGUAAGAGGAGACAAGUCGUAACAAGGUAAGUGUACUGGAAAGUGCACUUGGACAAUA